UACGUAGGGGGCAAGCGUUGUCCGGAUUUAUUGGGCGUAAAGCGCCCGCAGGCGGUCGCGUCAGUUUGGGGUGACAGCUCCUGGCUUAACCGGGAGAGGACCUCGAAGACGGCGCGACUUGAGGGCCAGAGAGGGACAUGGAACUCCGGGUGGAGUGGUGAAAUGCGUAGAGAUCCGGAAGAACACCAAAGGCGAAGGCAGUGUCCUGGCUGGCCCCUGACGCUGAGGGGCGAAAGCGAGGGGAGCGAACGGG
rnacentral:rRNA from 2 species